UAGUAAUAUGGUGGAAAUGAGGAAAAGUUAUAUAACAGCAUGUACGAAUGGGUUGCAGUUUUCAUUUUGAAAACUCUGAUAAACAAUGGUUUUGCGAGUUAUUGUCUGGUGGAAAUAUGUAGAGACUUUAACUUUG